GAUGGAAAAUAAUAUUUCUUUACCUUCUCCAACUUGCUAUUCCUCUGACUUGUUUUUUGUGUUUUCAAGAAACAAUGUUUACAGUUCGCUGUAACUGAGCAAAGAGCAAGGAGAGAAAAGGCUACUUUUUACAGCCUUCUGAUCCCAUUUCUUCCUUGUAUAUAUAUAUUUUUUGAUGAACAGAGAAAAAUUGUCCGUUCUUCCUUGUAUAUUUGUUAUAAGAAAAGAAGAAAAAAUAUAAAAUGAUGAGAACAUUGGAACGCGGCCACAGCGUUCAAAUAUAUAAAUCUUAAAAAGUGGUUGAGUUUCCUGCUAUACAGACACAAACCAGCAAGGUUUCUGAUAAUGAAAGUGACAGUGGAGGAAAUGUUGACGAUAAUGAAACCCUAAGCCAAAGGCCAUCAGCAUGAACCAGAGAAAGAACAGUAAACAGAGGAUUGACACUUACUCGCGGUAGAGGUACCCUUUCACGCUUGGAAUCUUUCGCUUUCACUGCUCCCGAAGCUUCUCCUCCAGAAAGGCAACCGCAAUUUCCCUCCUCAGAAAUGGAACUGAUGAAGGAAAAAUUUGCUAGGCUGCUAUUAGGUGAAGACAUGUCAGGUGGUGGAAAGGGUGUUUCCUUAGCUUUGGCUUUGUCAAAUGCCUUUACAAACCUUGCGGGUACUUAGUUUCCCUUUUGGCUUGAAUUGAAAAUCAAGAAAUUUUCAUUCAUGUUUUAAUGUAAUGAUACAAUGCAGCAUCGAUUUUUGGGGCGCCACAGAAGUUAAAGCCUAUGGCUCCGGGGAGAAGAGCAAGGUGGAAAAAAGAAAUAAGUUGGCUUUUAUCUGUAUCAGAUUACAUUGUUGAAUUUGUUCCUUCAUAACAGAAAUCCAAGGAUGGAAUAAACAUGGAGAUGAUAAAAAUUUAUCCCUUUUCAUGCUGCAUGUAACCUAUCCUAUAGAAUUACUUUAAUAUCUGAUCCUGAUUCAAUAGAUAAUGGUGACAAGGCAAAGAAACGAUCUGCCGAUGGACAUCUCUGCCCUGCACAAGCUUGAUGCCAUGCUUAUUGACUGCCUAGAUAGCUUUGGGGACAAAAACGAAUUCCGGUAUCCAUCUGGAGAAGAAAAGGAGUCAGAGAGAGGGAAGACGCCAAGAAAUGAUGACAAAUGGUGGAUUCCAAUUGUUAAGGUUCCUCCAAAUGGACUAUCAGAUGCGGCGCAAACAUUGUUGCUAGCUCAGAAGGAGUCUGUGAAUCAGGUUCUCAGGGCAGCCAUGGCCAUAAAUGCUCUAGUUCUAUCAGAAAUGGAGAUCCCUAAAAGCUACAGUGAAUAACUCCCCAAGGUAUAAAAACAGUUUUGAAGAUUCUCUGUUUCAUGUUUUGUAUAUUUGAGAUUGAUCUUGUAUACUGGCAGAAUGGAAAAUCAAGCCUUGGGGAUUCAAUUUACAAGAGCAUAACAGUAGAAUUUUUCGACAUGUGGCAGUUCCUCUCGACCAUGGACAUGGACAUGUCAUAGAACACUCGUGCUUAAUCUGAAGAACAGAAUUGAAGCCUCAAUUGUGAUUUGGAAGAGGAAAAUGCACCAUAACAAGAACGGAAAGUCUUUCUGGAAGUCAGCUGUGAGGUUGGAGAAAAGAGAACUCUUCGAGGAGAGAGCAGAAACUAUUUUACUCUUGCUCAAACAUCAAUUCCCCGACAUGAGUAAAAUCCAAUAUAACACGGCAAGAGCUAAGAACAACACCAAAACUAAUCAUGUUUCAAAGAAUUAAACAACUCUAUUUAAGCUGAAAAAAUGUAUAUUUUUGACAGGAUGUCGGACAGGCAAUUUUGGCGACCUAUUCAAGAGUAAUAGAAAGUUUAGCCUACACAGUUAUUUCUAGGAUUGAAGAUGUACUUCAUGCAGAUUCCCACACUCAAAAUUCAUCAUUAGCAGAAUCCAGCAAUGGAAUCUCCGAUAAACAACCCAGGUGAAGAGUGGGGAAAAACUUGUUCAUUAACAUCAAACUCAAGGACCCUCUCAGAUUUUAUGGGUUGGGAGGAGAAGGAGAAAAUAGCAGAGGCAGAGACAGGGGCAUACUUAAGUAAGACAAUCUCAAUGAGGGAUAUGAUAACGAACUGAUGAUGUCCAAAUCUCUUCCCAACAAUAGAAAAUGUGUAGAACACAGGAGACUUGGAAGAAGGAAAGAAUAUGAUAUAAAGAAUAUGUAGGCUGACCGACACCAAAUGGUAGGUUAGGGAACUUAUAGCUGAUUGUAAAUAUUAACACCCUUUCCACGUUUCACUUGACUCUUCUUCCUACAUUCAGGACAGGAUAGACUUUGACUAUGUGCAACAACCAAAAUUUUGGAACGUUUAAUUCUAUGCCUUUCUUGUAAAUUGUGUCUACUUAAGAAAACCCACUAAUUCAACUAAGAAUAUGAUC